rnacentral:lncRNA from 1 species
UCUUAACAACCCAAAAGCCUAUUCCACUCUUGGACCUUUAACAUCAUACACAACAAAUACCUAACUCUUACGUUGGCACAAGAGUGACCUCGAUCUCCCAAGCAUCCAACGUUUCCAAGCUUGAAUCCAACACGAGUGAUUCCAAACUCAAGUUGAUUUCCCUAGUUACAAGUUUCGGCCAUGGGGACCAUUCUCACAAGAGAGAGUGUUUCAAUGUUACAACUUUCAAUCUUCA